rnacentral:rRNA from 1 species
CCUACGGGAGGCUGCAGUGAGGAAUAUUGGUCAAUGGGCGGAAGCCUGAACCAGCCAAGUAGCGUGCAGGAUGACGGCCCUACGGGUUGUAAACUGCUUUUAUACGGGAAUAACGCGCCUUACGUGUAGGGCUUUGCAUGUACCGUAUGAAUAAGGACCGGCUAAUUCCGUGCCAGCAGCCGCGGUAAUACGGAAGGUCCGGGCGUUAUCCGGAUUUAUUGGGUUUAAAGGGAGCGUAGGCCGGAUGUCAAGCGUGCUGUGAAAUGUCCGGGCUCAACCCGGGCCUUGCAGCGCGAACUGGCGUGCUUGAGUCUGCGUAAGGCAGGCGGAAUGCGUGGUGUAGCGGUGAAAUGCUUAGAUAUCACGAAGAACCCCGAUUGCGAAGGCAGCUUGCUGCAGCAGAACUGACGCUGAGGCUCGAAAGCGCGGGGAUCGAACAGGAUUAGAUACCCGGGUAGUC